rnacentral:rRNA from 1 species
AACGAACGCUGGCGGCAGGCCUAACACAUGCAAGUCGAGCGCCCCGCAAGGGGAGCGGCAGACGGGUGAGUAACGCGUGGGAACGUACCCUUUGCUACGGAAUAGCUCCGGGAAACUGGAAUUAAUACCGUAUGUGCCCUACGGGGGAAAGAUUUAUCGGCAAAGGAUCGGCCCGCGUUGGAUUAGCUAGUUGGUGGGGUAAUGGCCUACCAAGGCGACGAUCCAUAGCUGGUCUGAGAGGAUGAUCAGCCACAUUGGGACUGAGACACGGCCCAAACUCCUACGGGAGGCAGCAGUGGGGAACAUUGGACAAUGGGCGCAAGCCUGAUCCAGCCAUGCCGCGUGAGUGAUGAAGGCCCUAGGGUUGUAAAGCUCUUUCACCGGAGAAGAUAAUGACGGUAUCCGGAGAAGAAGCCCCGGCUAACUUCGUGCCAGCAGCCGCCGUAACAC